rnacentral:rRNA from 1 species
GACGAACGCUGGCGGCGUGCCUAAUACAUGCAAGUAGAACGCUGAAGGAGGAGCUUGCUUCUCUGGAUGAGUUGCGAACGGGUGAGUAACGCGUAGGUAACCUGCCUGGUAGCGGGGGAUAACUAUUGGAAACGAUAGCUAAUACCGCAUAAUAGUAGAUGUUGCAUGACAUUUGCUUAAAAGGUGCAAUUGCAUCACUACCAGAUGGACCUGCGUUGUAUUAGCUAGUUGGUGGGGUAACGGCUCACCAAGGCGACGAUACAUAGCCGACCUGAGAGGGUGAUCGCCCACCUGGGAACUGGGACAGGGCCAAAACUCCUGCGGGAGGCAGAAGUGGGGAAUGUUCGGAAAUGGAGGGAAGUCUGACCGAGCAACCGCGGGUGGGUGAAAGAGGUUUUGGGAUCGGAAAGCCUGUUUUUAGGGGAAGAACGGGUGGGGGGGGGGAAAGUGCACACGUGACGGGUAUCUUCCAAGAAAGGGCCGCCAAAUUAGUG